CCACAACUUUGAGGGUAUAUGGGGAUGGGGAAGGGGAAUAAAAACAUCAGACGAGCCAGAUUUAGCAAAAAACAUGUUUAAUCUCUCCUUGAUGCGUGUCUAUUUACACGUAAUAAAUCUGCAAAAUUGGAAAGAGCAGGAUAUUUACACGGGCGUGAAACAGCCAAAACCUGUCACAGCAGCUUCAAGUCUGAAACUCUUAAAAAGGUAUCAGAAUUCAUAAAGUAUUAAAACUCUUUAAGGUAUUUUUUUCUUUCUACCUCUCUCCUCUUUAAUCUGUGUGUGAAGGUAUUUCAUGUCCUCUUCGCCGUCUCUGAAAUGUACUUUAAUCAAAGUGAACUCAGCAGGUGAGGAAGCUGGAGAGCUGGGACUGCAGGGAUGAGAAAUGUGAUUGUUGCUGUUGGGGCAGGGGUUAGAAAAUGGCAGAUGAGGGUAAGUUUUCAUGUCGUGGUGUUCCUCCCUAUGGAGGCGAGAAGGUACGAUGUUGGAAGGUGCAGCCCAUACAGAAAAACACCUACAUUCCACAUACACUUCAGAAGUGAUUUUAAAGGUUUUCAAAAUGGUGUCAGUUCCUGCGAACCACGAAUAGUUUACAUUUCUAGAAAUGCCUUAAGUGGUGCUCUUACUGAGAGUCAAAAAAGGAGAUUAAUAUCAUUCUCAUGUCUGUGUGCCUUAUGUGAAGGUAAAUACAGCAACCUGUUAGCUUAGCAUAGCUAGGUUAGCAUUUAACUUGUAUAUUCUCUCUAAUGUAGUUUGAAUUAUGUGUUCAAUGUACAGCUACAGGUUUCUGAUCUGUAGGUCUCACCAACUUCCCAAGUGUCAUCAAUCUACUUCCAUGCCCCGUCUGCCCUUUUUCCUCACCCCAACUGGUCGAGGCCGAUGCCUGCCCUCACUGACUGUGGUUCUGCCAGAGGUUUUGCCCUGGUGAAUUAAAUUUAAUUGAAAUAUGACAAAGACCAUAAAGCAUCCAGUCUUAAUUCUAGCAUGAAGACAAACACGAAAUACCUUAAAGCAAAGUGAUAAACAUACAUUGUU
ensembl:lncRNA